rnacentral:lncRNA from 1 species
AGUACUUUGAAUUCCAAGGAAGGUCCCUUAAAAUAUGCCAUUAUUAUAAGUAAACUAUAUCACUGUUUAGGAAUAUGUUUAAAAUACUAAAGAAAUUUGGAUACUGUUUUGAUGAAACAUGGACAAGAGCUGUUGAAAUAAUAUAUAAAGUACUCAAGUAGCUGAGUGUAAGUGUCCCAGUACUUCAGAAAAUAAAAAAUGAAAUAAAAAGUAAAAGGUAAAAAGUGAAAAUUGAAGAAUUUGUAGUUCUCCAUAGUGUUAAUAGUUCUCAGAAAAUUCUGCUUUCAGUUUUAGGUAGUUCCUGGUUAAAAGAACCCAAAGUAAUGAAAAAUAUAUUGCUAGUAAUAAUUUCUCUGAAUACUCACAGACAGCUAAUACAGCUGUUCCUCUUCAAGAUACUGCUACCUGCUGAGAGGCCCUGGAGCUAUUCUGGAGGCUACAGAGACUAUGCCCUAUCCUGCUUGUCAUCACCUGCAGCUGGUUCCAGGCUCCAAGGAUGAAUUGGCAGGAAUGGACUUUCCCCCCACCCUCUCUUUUAUAAAGCGUUUCCACCAUUAAAAAUUUGAACCUUGAUCAGACUAGUUGUCUUGGUUCCAUCUUUCUCUAGUCGCCUAGUUUCCCUCUCUUUCAGUUCCAAGAUGCCUUCCGGGCUUGAACAUGAGAGCCGCAGGCCGGCCCCAACACUGAAGUAUUCAGUUAAUUGACAGGGUUUCUUUUAUACAAAUUUAGCAUAAUGCAAGCACACAAAUAUCACAACAGAGGUUUGGAGGCCAUUUUACUCUCUGAAAUUCAUCUCAUUGUUUCUAAAGAUUGAAAGUUUGAAAGAUUUUAUUGUGGUAAAAAGUCCUAACACAGGUGUGAUUUCAGUUUGGUGGACUGGGAGGACCUACUAUAUAGCCAUAUGAUUUUCCUACUAGGAUUAUCUAAAGAGGUAAUUUAUACUGUUUCAUACUUCAGUAAGAAAACUGUAUUCUACGUGGUAAAUGUCUGUAAGGGAUUUUUAUGUCUCCCUCCCCCCAAAAACAGAAGAAAAGAAAAUGGAAAAAAGUGCAGAAGUUGCAUUCUCUGUCCUAAAAGUGGAUCUGGG